AGUUUUGGCAUGAUUGAAACGAGCAAAAGUGCAAGAUUAAAUUAACUUAUUGGCCUUUAUGUGAAAACUCAUCUAUUUGCACAUAAACCACCAUAAAAUCUGAAUUUUCAUAUUUGUCUUGUAGCCUUCAGAAAUGUAGUUUCUUACAUAAAUACCCUCAUCUUUUUUUGGUAGUUAUCCAAUUUCUGUGGCGGAAGUCGGUAUUACAAUAGAAGUUUUUAAAGAGGUUCAUUUUUGUAGCCAUAAUAAGAGUAUACAUAUACGAAAGUUUUCUGACCAUCUUAUUUUUUUCUGGGCAUAUAUGAACAUUAAGAUUUUACAGAGACAUACAAACUUUAAAAAACUUUCAUUUCAUUUCAAAAUCUCUUUCUUCUCAUCUCACAUAAACAUGAACAAGAAAUUUUACUUACAUCCCAAUUAUUCUGGUGUGUUAUAACAGGACUCGUAAAACAUACCUCUCUAUUCUAUCCGUCUCACUUUAUAUGUGAGACCCAACAAAACCAAAGAAUAGUUUUUGGGCAGAUGAAUACCAUCUCUAGAUUUCAAAAGAACUCAACUGUUCCCACUUCAUUUCCACUUUGCAAGCCAUCCCAAUGAAGAUAUGACAAAAGUGUGGCUAAAAGGUGUUUAUGGAACAACGAUAUAUACAGACACUAGAAAAUUCAGUUGUCCCGUAAUGCACACACAAUUUUGGAUCGACCCCAAAUGAGAAUUUGUGAACUAGUAAAAGAGGGUACACAACGAAUACAGAUUAUAUCUUUUUUUAAUGGAAACUAUUAUUUCAUAUCAUACUGAUGCUAGAUUUCAUUCCUUUUCAGUGUUGACAAAAUGAGAAAGCAUUUAGACAAGUUAGCAAAGUAGUACACAAAAAUAUAGCAGUUAUAACUUUAUGGUUCAAGGUAUUGAAAAUCAAUUCCCAAGAAAUGAUAGCAGAAAAGCAAAGUUUUUUCUAUCUAGAAAGAGGUUAAACGAAACAUUUCCAAAUCAAAAAUGUAACUCUUAACAUUGUUGUCCAGAUUUACAUUCUUUUCUUUUUUUAAACAAUAAAAUUACAUUAAUUGUCUCACAAAAGGUUCGUCAAAUAAGUGAUGGACUGAUUCAUCUAUUGCAAUACUAAAAGUUGGAAUCACACCAAUAGUGAUAGAAUAAUUUGCUAAUCCUUCAAUUUAGAGUAUGGGCCAAUAGAAUUAAGAAUUUAAGACAUAUUAAUGUGGAGAAUUUUAGAGGUUCAAGUCUCAAAUUUUUUGAUCGAUACAUAUUAGAACAAAGAAGCAUGACAACAAUGUCCAUUCCCAAUGACAACCAGAAAAGGACUCAUUUAUGUUUCACAGAAGUGAAAUAUCACUCUCAUAUAAUAUCAAUGAUAUUAUAUCACGAUAUGGCCUAACUCAAGAGUCAAAUUUAGCAUAUUAUAUAGCUCUCAGAACUACAAAAUUUGAUAUUUGGCAUAAAUAAGGAAAACACAAGUAACCAAAUAUCUUGUAGAAGUUCAAAUUUAAUAAAAUGUCAAGUUAUUGAAUGAAACAAUUAUUCCGCUAGAGUAAGUAAACCAGAGGGGCGGGAAGAACUGCGAAUCCAAAACCUAUCAUGAAAGCUAAAAAAGGAAAAUCGAUAAAUGUUCUCAAAUCAAAAAUUGCACAACUAAAAGAAAAUAAGCUAAUAGGAGGGCACAAGAAAAGAAUUAAAAACAAGUAUUAUAAAAUGAAAUAGCAUAUGCGACGAAUUAACAAGUUGAGAGUUAUGUAAAACCACUUAAUUGGAAGUAACUUAAGCCCUAUCCUGAUGGCAAUGUGCAAAACUAGGUAUUAAUGGUUAGAAGUACCAACGUUCUACUUUAUUCGUUGAAGGUGUUUUGCUUAGUAAGAGAAGUAUAAACUGACUUGCAAAUUUGUGCAUGAAGGAAAUGUUAAAAGCAUCAGGGAAUGUUAUUGUUAUAUCAGAGCAUAUGCAACACUAUAUCUACAUAACUAAUUCCCAAGGAUUCAGCCCAGUGACAUCCAUAAGACAUGACAAGGCAACCCAAUCAGCUAUUCUAGACUUGCAGUAUAAUUCUUCAUAAAACUUAAUAAGUUGAUAUGCUUACAAAUAACGAAAAAUAGGUGAGCCCACACAGAGGAUCAAGUUUUUAUGAGAAGGUAAAGAAAAGGAAGAAUUCAAUGAACCAAUAAACCAAUAAACAUACAAAACAUUUAGCGGUUAAUUGUGCAUCUUUACAACUAUGCAGUAAUCUGCACUGCAUUGUAAACCAUCAUAUCCUCAAUAGCAUGACCUUUCCAAACCCUUUUAAAAAUCUGCCAAAAGCUAAAUAACACAAAAAGCAAUAACAUUUUACAUGGCUACAUUUCUUAAUAACCAAGUAUUGAAAAAAAAAAAAAAGGACAGGUAAUUAGAGAAACUCACCCUAACUGUUUCCUCAUCACAUAGAUAAGCCCCUGCAACAAUUGUAUCUUGCAUGUGGCUUUCCACGGAAUCUGAAGGGCACAAAACAGCACUUACACCACCUUGUGCAUAAUUUGUGUUGCUCUCGUGAGGUUCCGCUUUCGUAAUAACAGCAACCUUUCCUUGUUUGGCAACUUCUAGGGCAUAUCUAAGGCCUGCAACACCACUUCCUAUAACUACAAAGUCAAAAUAAUUUGUAUUUGCAGUGCUUUCCUUUAAACAUGAGAUAGUAACAUUUCGGAUAGAAUUGGCUUUAUUGGUUGAAGGGGCUCGGGAGAAAGUAUUAGUCUUUGUGCAUAAAAGACUAGGGAUUGUAGAGAACCUGCUAGAGGAAAGAAUUAAUUAGAUAAGAUUGUAAAGUUGAUGAGUACAACCAAAUUUGAUAGAGAGGCACUUACGAGAAAAUUGCAGUUAGAUGCUAUUCGAUUUUACUACUCAUGAUCCGUAGAGGUUAGCUAUAUCGCGUUAUAUUCAUAACUUAGAAACUACCCAAUUACAUUAAUGUGCAUGCAUUAGAAAUUAAUCCUUUAAAUUCAUGCCAUAGGGGAUGCUAGAGAACAUCAAACAAUGAGGAAAAGAACAGAACGAUUACUAUUUUACAGAAUUUGAAAACUCAAGAUUCCUUAGAACCGCCUCUUUCUCUUCAAUUAAAGGAUGCAAUGAUAUGGAAAUAUCUAGCUAAUUGAAUUUCUGAGUAUGAGCCGAGUACUAACAAAUUUUCAAGUUCAGCUAUUGUUAACUAUGGGAGACAAAAACAAAAAAAAACUACUCAUAGUUUGAUAGCUAUACCUCGAAAUAUCUAUUUGCACGCAUCUCUUGAAAGAAAGACCAGUGACUCUUGAAGCUUGGAGAUGGGCUUUCUCGAUCGAUACCGUUCCUCGGCAGUGCAAAUUAGCACACCCAUACAAAAGGCUCGUCAUCGUUCCAAGUUUCUAAGUUUCUGCACAAAUAACAGUAAAAAUACCAACAUGUAAACAAAAUUCCCGACAGAAGAAAUGAUAAAGAAUGUGGCUAUAUAACCACCGUACUAACUGUUUUACUUGUAAAUAUUAAUCGACGUGCAUUUCAUCAAACUAAAAAAAGCAAAAAUCACCCUCAUGAACAGCUACAAUACAAAUUUAUAACAAAUUUCGUAGGAUAAAAGAAAACUAUUCUUGUUUAAUUUAUUUGCAACUACUACUAAAAACCACAUAUUCCAAAAAUGAAAACAAACCCAGCAUUAACAAACAUAGAAAUAAUGGGAUAAACAACAGCAAAGGUAUAAACUAUUGAUUAGAACUCAGAACCGGGUAACUUUCAUUGCUAUACUCCAUGCUAUGAUGGCAUGAUGAAUUAAAGGCAAAUUAACAGAUAUAUUUCACAAUAUGCAAAUCAAACAAGCAAAAUAGAGAAAAAGCUAAGAGCCUCAUCUAGAAAAAGAGGAAUUACUCAUUAAAAAAACCAAAAUUAGAUGGAACAUUCAUUCAUUGUCACACAAGGUAAAAAACCCAGCAAGGAAAUCUCAAUCAAACAUUUGAUCAAACAAGUCAUGUGCAUAACCAAGAGCACAAAAUACCAUAAAAAAGAGACCAGAAAAAAAAAAUAAAAAUAAAAAAGCUCACGUUUUUUAGCGCCCUGAAUCCUCGUUGAAUCGAAUGAGAAUAUGGAGAGGGAUCAACCAACGUCGUAUCAACUCUCAAUUAAUCCCACAAAAAGAAGAAUAAAAAGAAGAGGAGGCAAAAAGAGAGAGGAAGAGAGAGCCAAGAAAAGGAAAUGGGUCAAAUAUUUUCCUAUAUUUUCUCUUGUAGUGGAAAUCUAUGAGAUUGGUUUUCAACAAAGCAAACUUUUCCAUAAGAAUAAGAAUAUAAUAUUUCUGAACACGAGAGAAAAAAAAAAAAAAAAAAGCAAUGCUACUGGUAGAUUCUAAAAUGGGGUGUACAUCUAACGUUCACUUCAUCCUAAAGUUAUUCUUAUUACCUCAAUUUUUUAAUUUUUUUUAAAAAUUAAUUCAGUUUUUAUCAACCCUAAAAUUACGGGCAAAAGAUGUGCACAAUGUUACAAAGUUUUAAAAUAUGAACAAAAUUUUAUUUAUUUUUACUGUAAUAUAUUAAUAAAAUAUAAUAAAUAUUGAAGAUAAGUUCACCCUAUUCUUCAAAUCUCAUACUCAGUUAUUAAAAUUAGAGGAAAAAAAAUUUUUCUUUGUAUUUUAAAGUCUGACAAAAUUAUAUACCACUAUGCAAGACAUAUAAUCCAAGCAGCUGUAUAAUUAAUAAUUGGAGUGACGAAAAAAAAGAGCUAUAGUUCAAGCCACUAUUAAAUUAUUUAAGAAAGGUUAGUUUAGGGCUUUUCUUUGCUAUAAUAAAAAGUUUAAGUGACUAUUAAUAAAAGGGCUAUCAUUUUUGAGGUCCUUAUACACACUAAAAUGCUAGCCUACACUCACUUUUGGUUGCAAUAUUUAUAAUAAUAGGCUUAUACAUUUUCACUAAUCCUAUCAUUUUAUUUUCUAUUACUAAAAAUCAAAAAAUAAAACUUUGAUCAAGAGUUGUAAUCUUACAAUUUCUUAUGGAUUGUAAAUGUAGCAUUUCUUAUGUAAAAUCUCUCAAUUAUAGGCUAUUCUGAAAUAGACCCCUAAACUUUUUAUUAUCAACCUUUUAAAUUCUAGUUUUUAGGCUUUUACAAUUCAUUAUGUUAAAAAUUUUAUUACAUUUUAUGGUCAAUUUGCUAUUAUAGUUUGUUAUUCACUACAGUGCAGUUUAAACGAUUAGAUUUAAAGAAAUUAUCAACCGAUUCAGCAAGUUUUUUAAUGUGCUUGGCUAAAAUAUUUAAUUUAAAAAAUUUAAGAGCUAAGGGGCCCAAAUAAAAAAACCAUAGACUUUUUUUGCAUUUUACCCCCUCAAAAAGUUUUUUUCAUAAAUAAUUUCACAAAAUUUAUAUUUACAAGAUUGACCCUAUCCUCGCCACGCAAGCUCCACCUGAGCGCCACUUGGGCAUGACAGUAGGUUAAGUUGAACACGGUGAAUCAUUCACCGUGUUUGGAUACAGUGAAUGAUUUACUAUAUCCUUUUUAAAUUUUAAAUCCCAAAUAUUACGUAAUACUAUGAUAGAAAAAUAAUGAAACACGGUGAAUCAUUCACUGUGUCUAAACGCAGUAAAUGAUUUACCGUGCUCAACUAAUACUAUGCUGCCAUCCACGCUCACAUGGGGCUUACUUGGCAGGGAUAGAACUAAUCUUGCAAAUAUAAAUUUUGUGGGAUUAUUUGUAGAAACUUUGUAAAGCCCCCAAUAGUCCCACAUCGGAUGGGAUACUGAUUCCAAUCAGUUUAUUUGAGGCCUAGACGCUAGUAAUAAUAACUGGGCUUAAGCAUUUUGGGCCGGUGGUUUGGGCUCAACGAGUUAUUAUUGCUAGCGGGUCGGGUCGUUACAAACCUUUUUUGAAGGGGCUAAAUGCAAAAAAAGCCCAAAAACCAUAGUAUAGGGAGCAAUUUCAAAACUGGCCUAUAGUUAGGGUCUCUGUACAUUUUCACUCAAAAGAAAAACGAUAAAAAAAAAGAGAGGAAAUUUCCUCGCAAUUCGAGGCGCCACGUCUUCUAAGAAGACACCCAAUCGCAUGCCCGGUUGAAUUAAAUCCCCCCAUUCCAAAAAAAAAAAAAAAAAAGUUGCUCCACAUUUGCUUUUAUAUGUCAAAGCAUGGGUACAUAUGAAUGUACCCCGUAAUGUCCCCCAACUUUGAACGUGGUCAUUACUUGUGAAAUAAAUUUGUCCACAUUCAACUAAUCUAAUCUUAUUGUAUUAAUAAUGAUAGCAAUAUCUAGGGUGUAAAAAAAAAUAGCAACAAUCCGUGUACAUAAAAACAUGUGAAAUUUUGAUCAAACUAUAAUGUGACAAUCUCACUAGUAAAAGGUCAGAAAUUUGAUUUUCUACACACAUCGAUAUUAAAAAUGUAAUUUAAUAAUUGGUUCUUGCAGGAAAAAAAUAUAAAAUUGAUUAUGAAAUUCUUGGUUGAGCAUUUGGCUAAAAAUAUGAUCGAUAGAGUGCCUCCUAUAUUUCUACAAAAUAUAUUAUAAAACUCUACCGCAUCUGGUAAUCAUAAAAAGGUAUUCAUAAGUUUUUAAGUUAUAUUAGAGCAUUAAAUUGGCCUCUAAAUCAACCUACAUAUUUCUACAUUAAGAAUAAAAUCUUAUCCAAGAUGAUCACCUUAAGUGCACAAUUUGCUCUAUUUUUGUUUUUAGUACAGAUCCAAAUAGAGGUUUGGCAUAGAAAUUUGUAGCUUCUAUUAAUAGUUUAAAAGUAAAAAUGAGAGUCCAUAAGUUGAAUUAAGGUUGAAAUUAUAAUUUAGCGCUUUUGAUUUUGCUGCAAAAUAACUUGUAGAGAGUUUGUUAUAGAGCUUUUUUUAAUAUGCUAUUUAGACAAUACUUUUUCACGUAGCACCACACGUUAUAAUAAGCACAAGCAAGUUGUAAUACUGAUUUGACCUGGCUUGAGGUUCUUUCUUGAGAUUGCCUUAUUCAUCAAGUGUCAAUUUGUUUUGUUGAAGCCCCAACUGCCUUGAAUUGAUACAAAGUCGAGGUUUUGAUUACACUAAAGCUUGUGGCCUCUCGUGGUCCUAAUGCACAACAAGUUCUUUCUACUUCGCCAUAGCCAAAUGUUGGAUCUUGACCGGCAAUGAAAAUUUUUCAAAUUUGCCUAGCUCAUUCUUUGGCUUCUGCCCCUUCAAAGACACUCUAAGCUCUGCAUGUUUUGCUUGUCUCUGAAACAACUAUUUGCUUCUAAUAAAACAUAGGAAUUUGAUAAAAAAGAAAAGCUAAAACUAGAUAACUUAAAGAACUAUUUUAACUAUUCAAACCGCCAAUUCGACUGGUAAACUGGUGAACUAUUUUAGUUUUUAUCAAACAGACCAAUCAUAUUAUUAUUGAUCUUUAAUCGGACAGUGUAAAAAAUUAGAGCUUGGAAGAAAUAAACUUUGGAAAGAUUCUCAGAACUAAUAAUUAUAUUUUAUAUAAUUCGCAUAAGUUAAUUUUUUCUCCCUCUUAUAUAUGUUUCAUAUUUUAUAAUCAAUCAGACUAUACUUGUUUAACCACUAGUAAAACCCCAAAAUCUUAAGAGCAUAUUUGCUUGACCGAAGGUGGUGGAGACGAAGUUGUUUUCGACUAUGCUUUUUUUUUAGUUCGUUGUAAGUUAAAUUUGCCAACAACUUUAUUUUUCCAAAAUAUUGUAGUUGACUUCGCCUUAGAGGUGCCUGAGCCAAUUAUGAGAGAGAGAUAUUAAAAAAGUAAAAAAAAGUUAACCAUUGUAUGUUUUUUCAACUUUUUUUAUAUGAUAGUGUAGAAACUUUUAGUAAAACAAGUUAAAAAACGAAAAAAUUACUAUCCAAAACUAUUAACUUUCUAUCAAAUAAACAGUCAUGGAAAAAAAAAAUUUACCUGAAAGUCAUUAUCAACUAAAAAAUUACAUAACAGAAACAAAUAGGCCAUGGUGUGUUUGUUUCACAGAAAAUGGAGAGGGUGAAUUGGUUUUAGGCCGUAAAUGCUAAAUUCAAUUGUUUGGUUUAUCAUAACUUCAUUUUCGUUGGAAACUCAAACUGUCCAAAAAUAUCAUAAAUGACUUCGGCCCAUCCCAGACCAAAGUCAAUCAUAGAAAAAAAAUAGUAAGAAAAAAUAAAAAUUUAUUAACUCACGGCUCCCACCUUCAGCAUUCGCGCACCAUUAAGUUCCUAGAAAACAAGCAGCAAAAUUGGAAAAUACUUCAAUUCCACAGCUAUACAAACAAAUAGCGAAAAAAGAGUAAAUCUUUUCCGAACUCUAAUUCACUCAAAACUCUAUCAAUUUAAACUUCAUCUUUAGUGAAACAAGGAGGCCCAAACAAGCAACUUUUUGGGUUCAAUGGUUAGGAAAAUGUUUUUACAAUACCACAAGGAUGAGGACCAUCAUGAUUCCUGGUGUGAUUUGGGGUACACAUAGCAAUACUUCCAGUUUAAGUAAUUAAUGUUUUCCAUGUGGAUUCGGUGGGCGUUGAGAGUGGUUGGGUUUUUCAAAACGGCACGGCUGCUUCCUCUUGGACCAAAUUUUUCUGGAAAAGAAAAGGAAAAAAAGGUGAAGAAAGCAAGAGAGAAUCGUUUGAUGUCUGUCUCACACGGAUGGACUUUCCCGUGCUUACCAGAAGCGGGCAAUCUGGUUGGGACCACUACCCUAGGACAGGGAUGUCAAUGAGCACGGAUACUCGAAAUUUUAUUCAAAUUCGAAUUUGAACAGAGCAGAUUUAUUCAAUACUAAAUAAAUAUAGUUUUGUAUGUGAAUAGCGAAAACAAAAAUUCGAUGGAUAUGAAGUCGAAUAUGGAUUUUGACUGUACCCGAUCCGAACCUGAGUCCAACCCAAGCCCAAAUUUAUUUUACUUUAUAUAUUAAAAUAUGUAUAUAAAAAUUUGAUGUUAUAUUUGAAUUUGUAUUUUAAAAAUUUAGAUUUAAUGUAAUAUAUUCUGAAAUAUUGAAAAGAGAUAAUUGUUUCGGGUUUGGAAUUUCAGGUUCGGGUUUUGGAUUUUUGGCCAGAUUCGUGUUUGGAUAUGGAUUUCAGUUUUGGAGUCGGGUUCAGAUUCGGAUUUUUGAAAACCCGCCCCGAAUCUGACCGUUGGCAUUCCUACCCUAGUAGGAGCAGAGCUUGCCAACAUAGUCUUAUUAAAAAAACUUUUGAUUCACUAUCACCUAUUAAUUUUUUAUGUUUAUAUAAAAAUUAUAAUUUUUUCUUUAAAAUUUUUUUUAAAAAAAUUUUAAUAUUAAAAAAUAUUUAAUUAAUUUUUGGAUGGAAGAGAAAGUAAAACGUGGUAGCAAAGUGGGGAUCCCAACGACGAUUAAUUGAGGAGCUCCCCACUGAAAAUUUUUUCGUCUUUUGAGUAUACAGUAUACACUAAACAAUUAUCAACAUGGGAACAUAAAGAACGCCAAAAAAUAAGUUAAUGUAUAUAGAUAAAAGGAGAAGACUAGAAAACUUCUUUUUCUAUUUUUUUUUAAAUUUUUUAAACUUUUAUUUUAUAUAUAUAUAUAUAUAUAUAUAUNNNNNNNNNNNNAUAUAUAUAUAUAUAUAUAUAUAUAUAUAUAUAUAUAUAUAUAUGUAGAGUAGGGCUACUAUACUCUUAUGAGUAUUGGGCCCUUCGUACUCAUAAAUUGUUUUCGAUGAUAGAGCUUCCAAAUCGAUGAUCCACUCCGUUAAAUAUGAUCUAGAGUAUUUGAAACUUCUAGAAAAUAAAUUUCGUAAUUUUUCGAAAUCAUAAUAAAGUCCAUCAAGCGGGCAUAAAAUGAACGGUCAAAAUCGAACGAUGUCUUAAAAAUGGAUGAUCGGAUCCUUCAAUUUAAGAUCGGAGUUAUUGAUCUUUAUCUAGGUAGUGAAUAGAAUUUUCUAUCAAAACUUCAACCUAUUCGGAUUCUUUUGCACCAUUAAACAAGCAAGUAUUUCAUACCGGCCGUUAAAAAUUGUCAAUUUUGUGAGCUUUUGAUCGUUAGGUAAAUGAUGUCGAAAAAUUAUGAAAUUUGAUAUCUAAAUGUUUCAAAUGCUCUAGAUAACGUUUAACGGUGUGGAUCGUCGAUUCGGAAGCUCUAUCAUCGAAAACAACUUAUAAGUACAAGGGCGAUCGUACUCAUAAUAGUAUAGUAGCCGGACUCUAUAUAUAUAUAUAUAUAUAUAUAUAUAUAUAUAGGCUGCUAUACUAUUAAUAGCACCAAGUCACUAGUGCUAUUAGGUUUUCAUCCCUUGAUUGAAGGGAUGUGCGGUUAGGAUGAUAGUGGUNUUUGGGGCUAAAGUUUGAACUUAAACUUAAGGGAUGGCGAUCAUCCAUGGUCUUUGUAGGAGGAGGGAUGAGGUCCUGUGUACGUGCCUCGUGCUCUUUAAAAUGUUGCGUUCUUGUUGGUCCUUAUUUUUGGGAGAAACGCUAUUUUAGGGAAGAUUUUGGAUUUAGGCAACCACGGUAACCCAGGUCCUGUUAGCUUGUCAACUUUUACUCGAUAACCUAGCGAUACUUACCUCAGGUUAUGCGAGGUCUUCGGUAGAAGUGACUAACCGGAGAGGCCUUUUGGGCUCAAUGAUAAGUGAAAUUCACUAAUGAUUUGCAGCGCAUUGAAAAAGUAGGAUUGAGCAAAAGAAGCCUUUGAACUGCUCACAAAUACAUUAAUUUAAUGUGUGUUUUUAUAGUAGUUAUAUCUCAAAUUGAUGUGUCGAUUUAAGAGUUAGCAGUGUAAUAGGGGGGGAAUUUUCUUCAAAGCAGAGGCUUUGAACUGAUGUGUGGACUGCAUUAGUUUAAGCAUAUGGUUUGGUGAUAACGCUAAAGAGGAAGCUCAAAACUACUAAGAGGGUUAAGUUUAAGAUAUAUCCGAACUUAGACCUAUCUAAUUAGGGACUUCAUCCCCUCUUGUUUUGACGUCAAGGUGAGCCUGUUCUGCUCCCUUUUGUAUGGUUGGGGUUUUAGAUACCUAGUUUUGGAUAGCCCUAGUUGUGGUAGGUUAUUGGACGACUAUUUUAUCAUGGAGCUGGUCCUAAUAAGCUAGGGUAUAGACGGUUUAGACUCUAUUAUUGAGUGGUGAAUCUUUGAGAUCCAGGUUCUGAAGUGGAAAGCAGAUCCGGUUUUCCAGGUUCCGUUUGUUAUGGUUAGCUCGAACUGUUAAAACAGAGGAGUUAUUGAAUUAGGCCAUAUUAGUUUGGUUGUAUACUAGGAAUGUUCAGUAGUGAACUACGUGUUCCAACGGAUAUAUAUAUAUAUAUAUAUAUAUAUAUAUAUAUAGUCCGGCUGGGAUACUAUCGAUAGCAACAAGCGUUUGGUACUAUCGAGUUUUUCGUCAUUACACUACAGGAAUAUUAUACAUUGGUGGCGAGUAAUGUCGCCACCAUAUAUAUAAAAAGUUGCCACAUUUUCAAAAGGUGGCAACUUUUAAAGUCGCCACAAGCUGUCACCGAAAGUGUUGCCACUAAAUGAAAUUGUGGCGAAGCAUGAAAAAUCGCCACCUUUUUGAAAAUAGCGUGGCGACAUUUUAUCACCACGAAAUAUGACUUUUAGUAGCCAUUGUUAGUCGCCGCCUUAUUAAAGAUAGCGUGGCGACAUUUUGUCACCACCAAAUAUGACUUUUAGUAGCAACUAUUAAUCGCCACCUUAUUAAAAAUAGCGUGGCAAUAUUUUGUCAUCAUCAAAUAUGACUUUUUAGUGGCUCUUUUUAGUCGCCACCUUUUAUGGAAAUAAGGUGGCACUACAUUUUCGCCCCGAUUACUCGUUUCCCCGGGCACGCUAACAGACCCGCUGUAUAUAUAGAAAUUUUUCCUGUAUACGAAGCGAAACAGUAAAAGUACCUGUAAUCAAACAAUACUACAAACAGUAGUAUAGAGCUGCUAGGAAACUAAACCAUAUAUAAAACAGUGGUUCGAUACAUACAUAUCAUCCUGGUACGAAAACACUCGCUCCAGCGAGGUACAAUAUCAGUAUGUAAAGAACCAAAAACUACAACUAUCUGUAGCUAGUACUCCUCUAGCUCUGGUUCGUCUGGAAGGGCUCUAACUCGCGACGCCCUCGCCACGAUCUGAGUCAGUAACGGCAGCAGCCGAAGGCAAUGGCUCUGCAAAAAUAGGGGUAACAACUGGACGUGAGAACUACUGCAAAAGAAGUAGUCAUCAGUGGGUACCGCCCUCAAACUCAUCGGCUCACCCACUAAGUCUACAGAUCUAUGCUCAAUAAUAAAAAAGGAAGCUGGAACACAUCUACAGCUAUAUGCCACUAUCCUAUCAUGAUCCAACAUUACUAUCUGUAGAGUAAUGCAACCUCAGACCCAAAUCCAUAGGGACUGUGAACACACCUGUCCCAGGGACUGUGAACACACCCGUCCCGCCUGUCGAAUCCUAAAUACUACCUCCACACUAAUCAGUCCGUGGAGAGCAAGUCCAACCAGGACACUACAUAACGCAAACGCACAAAGCCCGACUCCGGAGUGGCACUUGUGGGCGCUUCCCAACCGAGUAUGCAAGCGUAUCUCUAUUGAGCUCAAUCAGGCUCUCACAGGCUAUAAUCAAGUAAACAGGGUCCAACUGGUCUAACAACCAAAACUCAUGUGCCCUCGGCACAAUCUAAUGCAAAACCCGCAAUCUGGGUCCACCGUCAACCCCGACGGCACCCGACAGUCCGAAACAGCCUAGACACUGCUGUAAAAAUAAGCUCGGCAUCUCCGCACGAGCGUAACUGCAUUCUACACUAUCCCAGGUAUCUACCGCCAACAAACUGCGGUGAUACAGAUCAACUACAGCUCCCAAGCUUUCAGCGUAUCAAAUGCACACAACAGUGUGGAUACUAUCCGCGACAGCUUCAGAAGCUAUCUGAGUAUCAAAUGCGCACUAACAGCGGGGAUACGAAGCACAACUUCAGAAGCUAUCUGAAUAUCAAAUGCGCACUAACAGCGUGGAUACGAAGCACAAAAGCUUAAGGAGCGAACAGAAAAGACAGUGUAGAACCUACAGUUGAAUGUUACCCAAACUGGGCAUCCCGCACGAGUGUAAAUGCACUCUAAACUACCCUGGGUAUCCACCGCUCUGAAACUGCAGCGAUACAAACAAGCACGACUCCUAGAGCUAAAUCUAGUAGUUUAAGCAUAUAACGGGAUAGAAUCGCUGGUUUUCUCCUAAGUCAAUUUUUAAGUCCAACAUGUAUAUUUAUUUAAUUUACUACAGCAUGCUCCAAAUUUAGAUUUCAUAUACUAUAUUAAUCACUGAAUUUGAGCUAAACAUAAUAUACCAAAGCUGAAAAUUAUACAUGUCUACUAUGCACAUGCUUAGGAGGCAAAACCGAUGAUUAACCCACCACCAAGGCAAUUCCACGGAAGCAAGAAGGUCCCGAAAACACCAGGAGGUUCAGCCGAGAUCACGCUGCAACAGCAACAAUACUUCUCCAAGGCUCUACACAUCGAGAAUACUAUAAUUCCAUCAACUUACAAAAUUCAGCACUUAAGCUUAACUUUUCCUCAAAUACAAUGCUAACUUCACCUUUCAAAUCCCAAAUCAAGUGUAGCAAAGUCCCAAAACCAGUAAACCAAGAUGGAAUAUCACCCUCUGGUCCAAACUCGACUUCCUCCAAGGGUCUGAACACAAAAGCAUAAAACUUGCAUCAAUAACCCCAAAUUUUAGCACUUAAGCUUAAACCGACAACUCCAAUGUCAAAAUUACUUUCUAAGGCUCAAAUUCGAUGAAGGUAGAUCCCAAAUCCAGUGGAGUAUACUGGAGUAUCAAUCUCAGGUCCAAAAACCCACUGCCUCCAAAGCUUGCACCUUGAAAAUCCACAAAUUCACCGAUUCAGUCCAAAAACACUAGCAGCAAAACGCAGAAUAGACCAAGCUAACCUUAACCAAAUUCUGUCAAUUUGGGCUCCACGGAUUCCUCUUGAAGUCCUGAAUCCAACAAACCAAGUUUCGUGGAAAACGGAGCUUCCUACGCCGCACACGAGCCGAAACACCAACAGUCGCUGCUGGAAAACUGCUAGAACUGAAAUCCUCAAGGUGGAAAUGGUAGAAUUUCGAGUAAUUGGAGGGACUAAGAUGCAAAAAGUGGCUUCUCUGUGAAGAAAGAAGGAAAAGAGCUGAAAGGGGUCGAGUUCCAUCUAUUAUAGUGAGUUAGAAUGAUCCAAUAAGCCCCAGGAACUCUAGCUGCUAACCUGCACUAAUGCAGAAAAACUCAAGAUCUGGGCGCCCUAAACCCAGUUCUGGGCGCCCAGAACUUCCAGCCUUCACAAACAGCACCUCGGUUCCUCCGUCCGACGGUCUGCUAUGCCCUAAACUUGGUCCGACGGAUCACACCUACCACCAACACGUGUCAACAAGAGCAAUAUUUCCAAAGUAAACUUCCGGACCCACAUCUGGGUGCCCGAAACAUAGGAUCCGAAUUGGCUUCCAGUUCUGCUCAGACCAGCACUCAAGAUCUGGGCGCCCUAAACCUAUUUCUGGGCACCCUAAACAGGCAAAAACUCCAGUUUUGCUUAUUUGAGUGCGCCAAGUCCAUUUCCGCAUUCAUUUCGUGCAGAAACGGUUCCAACUCAGUCCGACACUCUCCAGACGUGUCGACCAGUCCCUAAUACUGUAGCCAAUCCUAUCCAAACCUCUGGAACACUACAAUUAACAAAAUAGACAAUUGUCAAAACUGUGAUAUAUACUAUUCUAUAUCCUAAUACUCAUUAGGUGGAAGAAAUCAAAAUAAUGAUACUAUUCUAUAUCCUAAUACUCAUUAGGUGGAAGAAAUCAAAGUAAUGCACCGAUGCAUAUUAACUGCCUCUUUGAGUCUAUGGCAUAGUUCUUCAAAGAAAUUCGCUGCUCAAAAUACAGAAGUCAUUUAUUUGGCAUAAAAUGAGAAAUUGCAGCUUCCGACAUAAGUAGGAAGUGCAAAAUAAUAUCUGCAUUUAAUGAGGAAUAUAAAUAAAUAAGUCACUAAUAUUUUCAAGAAAAAGGUUAACUUUACAAGAUACCGGACAAAAUAUGACAAAUUAGAAAUGUACGUAAUGUCGAAGCUCUCACCAUCACCUUGAAGAAAUAAAAAUACAAUAUAUUAUUCCAACCAUAAUAGAUAUGUUAAGUAUCAACAAGUAAUAUACUUCAAAUUAGAAAUGAAAGACAAAAUUAUGUUAUAAAAAUACUAAGCUAACUUAUGAAAAUACUAAACUAACCUUCAUAAAGAGAUUAAAACAAUAAAUCACGUAGCUAGAGCUAAUUUUAUAAGUUAUAUAUAUAUUACAAAGAGGCCAACCUUGAGCAUAUCUCUUAUUAGUAGCAUCAAUUCAUAUCAUUGUCGACGAACAAACUAAUGUCUAACUCGGUAGCAUCUAUAGUAAUCCCUUCUGCAUCAUUUCUUGCCAAAUUAAGUCCAUCGUCAUCAUUUUUACCUAAAAAUGAUGAGAAAUGAGGAAGGGUUGUAAUCUUUACAACCCUUAAUCCAAUGGUUUGAGGGUUUAAACUACCUUUUCUGGUUUCCGGUGGAAAAAAAAAAAAGUUGAUAAGACUAGUGUGUUAAUUAUAGCCUUUAGAUGGGCUAAGCUGUAAACUUACAACCGUAAUAGGGUUGCAAGCCUAGCAGCACUCAAAAAUGAUAGCAAACGCAAUUAUUUUAUCAAGAUUAGAAUAAUAUUAAUAAAAAGAGGUAAAUUUCAGUUUGCCCGUAUGUGCUUUAGUGCGUAUUUUUUAAAUGUUGCAUAUAUUACUGAAAAUUAUCUAAUGUCUUAAGAUCCUCUGGAGUAUCCAUUUUAUUUGUCCAACAAGUUGUGGGUAGAAUACAAUUCUCUUCUUUUGAUAAACAACAUACACUACUAUUAUAUAAAAGUCAUGAAACAUGAAUGUGAAGUUAUUGUAAUAAUAAAAGAAAACACACAUGCUGGACCGCCCAAGCACAAAAACAUAACCUGUAAGAUUAUAAUAAUAAAGAAAAACACACAUGCAGAAACUACAUUGUAGAGAUAAAUUUAUCUCUACAAUGGGUUGGAAUGAUCGAGUUAAAAACCUAUGGUUCCUAAAGCUUUGAAAUUUUAAUUAGUCAAAAAUCUCAAGCAAGGAUAAUCCUACACUCUUAGCUGUACAAGAGGACCUUGUUGAGGUUUCAAGAAUUAAUUAGAAGGUCUUUUUCAUUCAACAAAUUUGAGAGAAAGGUCCAGUAGUAUCCUUUGUUCUGGCCAUUUUCGAUUUAUUAACUUCUUCCAUUGCCCAAAGAUCUAAAUAUAUUAAGUUGCACAGGGAACAAAUAGGGUUGAAUAUAUUCGAAUGAGUGUGACAUCAAUCAAGUGCAUAAUCUAUAUGCAUCACAUGGUACUAUCUUUGAUUAGGAAGAAUCAACUGAUUAUGAGUAUGAGACAUGCACAAACAGAGAAUAUUGCAGUUAAACAAUUCCAUCUAAUACUAAUUUGGAGGAACCGGGGUGAAUACUUGGGUUGUUUAAAUUUUCUCUACCUUUUAAGCAAUUUGUUAUACAGUUUAUUCAUAACAAAGAGAUAGAAUUAUAGUGCACACAUACCAACAUGCAUCUUACCUUAGGUGCUUUCUAUGAAGUUGGAUGAACAUGCAUUAAAUGAUGUGAUGAAUAUGAAGCAUCUAGGCUAUAUCUUUGGAUUAUCAUUUUCUCUUCGUAAAUCAUCUAUGUUUCUUUUGUUCUAAUAUUCUAAUGCCAUUUGUAGUUACAAAAGUUUAGCACACAACACAAUUUUACUAGAAGCAUUAUAAUAGUUUCAUUUUGUUUGUUUCUUGAACAAUUUCAGGUUGCCUACUAUCCAGCAGGAGGUGCAACAACGCAAAUUACUCUACAUGGGUUUGUACCUUCUUAUAUGGGGUGAGGCUGCGAACUUGCGAUUUAUGCCGGAGUGUCUUUGCUACAUCUAUCAUCAUGUACGUUAUCAAUCAAUAAUUAAGUGUUAUCUUUUGCCAAUAUUUAAAUCUUCUUAAAAUGAAAUUAAUUGAGUGGAGUAUUUGUGUAACUUCCUGACUUCUGCACGUGCUUGUUUCUAUAUAUCUCUUCGGGGCUGUGCUGGCAGUAUAGGUUUGUUUAAUACUUAACUAUUGUCUCUUUGGAUAGAUGGCAUUUGAGCUUUAUGGUAUGCUAGCUGGGAAUGUAAGUUCCUUGACUGGUGAAUAUAUUAAGCCAGCCUAUGGAGGUGAUGAGGAAGCCUUUCUAAAGAAAGUUGUUACACCAAUUUACGAGACAAUAAAAGAGGUUUUCCACUCUCAAUCUUCAGUUCAACUUUCUUAAUUGAAGUUUAUUAAUGUUUUCUCAUGCCUAUGUACUCUACACUGUUCAGGAAGCUGAAAGAAGUAAAAGAGAAAAAGCAAAGCAUUCUUAUGAUGAUUUAAAUGAAUAUUUUUGGUAUGGAAAAUUUUAUCUGCAAUAUGAACUUUUGAGUUACUCCUAUCCAUAGAUUCCUCUCAUUUUCUCUUUUGGUCAAUAUCUAUGAUUUUAGCUUCAUCUGUUUCUUAUACUCUAUUAUUUAAGGUUGAUUUUAUAGGACAACUUGCUUUUUCUUUGCUCAUUGCAAUUUUUUUAUGAGUUGCCAUUUAUUAUGCUUGAGAGGAUUUACCUAUCAUCCCUUCUUUCUCUCUCUCUCUCUCUAUUGUGGCAACUUCAAUAGUUGCUGUCUAUCGAGUCUAGUAGAGCAUCCAAACUCGUUGACCUAUACUGCUAUUUGAUCCAAUUUAUGUGCAUAGUAAACACUUACGUACUUACCUGGGAAUGCAAGUUUAUAUCCGAUGUUUGUUGCUUGCAAUUUCGAUAGGAAAAAUACUGUUAGAAGCUUGGAAGACGUAGCUAGUUUCCUGAAGACAUAUUUUAGGAAACUAGUGAACUGGUUUCCUAAAAUGAACUCACAAUCUACAACCACCUAAGGAUUUUCAUUUCUAGAAAUGAACUCGCAUUCUACAGCACACACCAUUUUACACUAUAUUACGGACAGUAUACAGAGGGAUUUUAGUAGUAGAUCAAAUUGUCCAACCAUACAAAUACCAAACUAUGCCGAAGGAAAACCCAUAGAUUAAUUAAACUAGAAAAGGAAAAUCCACGUGGUCUCCUAAUCAUUCAUGGAUUGUUGAAUCAUUUCAAAAAAAAUAAAAAUACAACCAAAUUUAGCUUUUCAGACCUUUUUUUUUUUUUUUUACGGAUUUUUGUUCAAUGGAGAUCGGGACCGUGGAGCUCGUCGGAGAGGAGAUCGGCAAUGAGAAUCUUGGCGGCGAGGAGAUCUGCGGCGAGGGGCUCGCCGGCGAGGAGAACGACAACGAGGAGAUCGCCGACGAGGAGAUCUGUGUUGAAGGGCUCGUCGGAAAAGAGAUCGGCGGAGAGGAGCACGUCGCCUAUGAGUUCGCCGGCGAGGAGUUCGCCGGUGAGGAGCUCGCCGACGAGAGGUCGCCGAGGAGAAAGGCGAGAGGGUGGGGAGAGUGCGAGGUUUGUGGAAGGGAACAGAGGAAAUGGGUUUUGAGGGUUUUUUUUUACUCUUUUGCGGGGAAUAAAUUAUAUUUUAAAAAAAAAAUUAUCGAAAGCUUCCAAAUUAGAUUACUGGAAUAAUUUUUAUUUUUUUAUUAAAACUUAUCUCUUAAUUUUUAAAAAAAUUUCUAAUUUUCAGUUAAAAACUAAAAAAUUUUAUUAAAUUUAUCAAUCCUUUUAUAAAAUUUAGUCAUUUUAAUCAAAUUUUAAAAAUUAAAUUAAAGUAAUUAAUAAUUUAAUUUAAUUUUUAGAAUUAAUAAAUUAUUAUAUUUUCAUAAAUUAAAAAUUAAAAUUUUGAUAUAGUUUAAUUAAUAAUUAGUAAUUAAUUAAUAAAUUAAUUUAGUUAAGCUAAAUUUAAUUAAUUUUUUAAAAUAAAUUAAAAUAAUUAAUAGCUAAGCACUAAUUAAUAAAACUCUUAAUUUUAAAAAAAUUAACUAAACUAACUAGAAUAAAAUAAUUAAAAAAAAGAUCGAAGGUGUUAAUAAAAAAAAAUAAAGUUCACAGAGCAAUUUCAAAAUAAUCUAAAGUUGAAGGUGUCUCUAUAAAUUUUUACCCUCAAUUUUUAACAACUAUCAUCAGUUUUUCACCCUAACUAUACAUUAUUUUGAUAUAAAUUUUUUAAAUAUUUUAUUUUGAUUGUAAUAAUGUAAUUUUAUUAAUAAUAGGUGGCAAUUCUUUUUAUCGCCACGGUAGGUAAUCAAACAGUGGCGACAAAAUGAUAAUUUGGUGGCAAAAAUAGUAUUGCCAUUUGAAGUUAAUUAAUCAAUGACAAUUUUUUUUUAUCGCCACUAUAGGUAACCAAACAGUGGCGAUAAAAUAUCCAUUUAGUGGCAAAAGUAAUAUUGUCACUUUAAGUUAAUUAAUCAACGAUAGUAUUUUUUAUCGCCAUCAUAAAUAACCAUUUAGUGGCGACAAAAUAAUUAUUUAGUGGCGAAAAUAGUAUCAUCACUUUAAGUUAAUUAAUUGAUGGCCAUUUUUUUUAUCGCCACUUUAGAUAACUAAAUAGUGACGAUAAAAUAGUCAUUCAGUUGCGAAAAUAGUAUUGCCACUUUUAUUUAACUAAUCAGUGGCAAUUUUUUUAUCGCCACAAUAAGUAACUAUAUAGUGGCGACAAAAUUUAUCGCCAUAUUAUUUUGACCAUUUUAUCCUUUCUUUAAAUGACUUCUUUGUUUUUUAGGGUACUUGAAACAAAGUUGGAAAGGUCGAUGUAAUAACCGAGAUUUUCAGUAAUAAAAAUUAAACCCUUUGUUAACAAUGUUUUUAUGUGUAAUAUAAUUACAUAAGCACUCGUCAAAUUUCAGGUGAAAACGAGUUAAGAUGGAGAAGUUGUGCGACCUGAACCGAUAACUUAAAGUGAAUAGUAACUCCGGCUUUCCGGAGAAGCCAGUGAGUAGAAGACGGUUCUGGUGCGCAUUGAACUCCGAUUAUAGUGCUCCAAUAGAUCGUUUCGAACGGUUCGACCAUUCUAGACCCAAUGGCACUGACGAAAUUGGAUUCUGAUGCACGGUUGUCGAGAAAAAGGGGUUUGAUUGGUUUCACAUGUAGUAAUAUAAGUGGCUACAUAGUGAAAACAAAAGAGGGAUGGUUUUGACACAAAUCGAAAACCAAAUCGGACAAAAUAAGAAGCUAGAUUCGAUGCCCCAGUCGUGUUGAACGCGCUGGCACAAUCCGUUCGAAAAUCCGACCGACGGAUCUUCGGGAAUCGUGAAAAGUCCGCUGAGAGGUCAAUUUGGCAAAAUCGAUUAAUCGCGAAAAGACCCUAUAUUUUAUACGCCGUUUCACGAGAUUUCGAAUGUCGAGGGGCUGGCAUGCAAGUUACACAUGCGGGCAGGGGCAGGAUUAUAAUUAUUUGACUUUGAAGGGGUUCCUUGCAAAAUGACACCUUGUAUAAAAGUGGCAUCUAGGGUUUUCCAUGGUUCUUUUGCUGCCCACGUUCACCUAGCUAACCCUAGCCGCCCCACCUACACCCUGCCCUGCCUAUACGCACACCCGGACUGCCGGUGAGCAGCUCCGGCCGCCGGAAAAGCAACCCCGACCUCCCCUCAACUCCUCGUUAGACCCACCUCGCCACCAGCUCGGUUGUUGUGCUCGGGGAGGCAUCAAAGCCCGAGCUUCAACAUCCCCUGGCCGAGACCCAUCUCCGGCUUCUCCCCCGCCGGCCCCGGCCAUCUCCGUACCCUGCCGGAGCCCCACUUGCUCCUUGCGGUCAUCUGCUGUCAGCCCAGGCCGAGCCUGGGUGACCUCGGUCUUGGCGCGCCUCCGUCGCUCCCCGUCGGCUGCGCCGCCCUCCGGUGACCUCUGGUAACCUCCCGCUUGCCGCCCCGCUGUCCCCGCACGCCGCCGGCCGCUGCUAGGACUUUUUAUGGCCGCCCAGACCUGUGCGGGCCGAGGUCGAGUCCACUCGACUUCCAAGCGCCGCCGCCGUCCAACGAAGGGUGCACCGCCUCUCCCUCGGCCUCCGGCGUCGAAUCGUCGCAGCCCCGAGCUCCUCCGGCCGCCGCCUUGCUGCCGGCGCCCUUGAACCCGUGAGCAGCCUUAGGGAGUUGAUCUCCGCCGCGGCGCCACUGGCCGCCUCCAGCCACCGGCCAGCGGGUGCCCCGGACCUCACCUACCGGCCGCGCCCUCCCCUGGCUGGACUGCCCGCCGUCCGGCCGCCGGCGACCAACCCUAGCUCUCCCCGGUUCCGGUAAGGCUGUUUUAUGUUCCAGCACAGAAUUCUGAGAUUCCGGUCACUUUUCCGGUGAUUUGUUAAGCCUUCCAGACCUCGGGAAGUGAGCACAAUGAUCUACAACACAUGUUGAACAUCUUGCUCACCUCCGACAGGGACAGAGAUGCCCUGGAUUGUGCAUUAAUGGCAAUCUUAGCGUUGUGCGCGCUGUUUCACUGAGUUUCGUGUCGCUCGUGCGCGUGUCACAGUGGCCGGCAGUUCUCCGAAAGGUGAGCACGGCCUCCGGCAUGCUGAAACCUAUCAGCGAGCACGACGGUUUGCCUAAUCGAUCUCUAGUUUGCGUGCACGGUCCAGAAAAGCCUAGAAAUCAGAUAAAAUGAUGCGAUUUCAUGUAUCGGUAAGGGCUUUUAGGGUUUUUGCUUUGAUGUAGCUGCUGUUGGCAGCAAGGGUAGGCUGAGGAUAACCUCUGGACUGAUCGUCCAAGGCCCCAAGCCUUCCCAAUGAAGAUAUGACAAAAGUAUGGUUAAAAGAUGUUUAUGGAACAAAGAUAUAUACAGACACUAGAAAAUUCAGUUGUCCCGUAAUGCACACACAAUUUUGGAUCGACCCCAAAUGAGAAUUUGUGAACUAGUAAAAGAG
rnacentral:lncRNA from 1 species